UAUUUGAUCGAGAGCAACUAAGGAGUUGCUGAGGGCCUGGCCUGAAGGGCCUCUAGGCUCCCCACCCAAUCAGGAAUGGGGAGGAUCCUAGUCCAUGGAGGGUGGAUUCCUUGGACAGAUUUAUGGAGAAAUUCAUGGGAAAGUCACCAGGAAGGCAAUUUCUGAGAGGAUGAUGACACUUGCCAAAGGCUUCCUGAGAAGCUGACUCCACCCCAGCUCCUGGGGAGUGGCUUAAUGGCUAAAGAUAAUCCUAGUCCCUUUGCCAGUGAUUGACUCAGGAACUCACAUCUCAGCCCAUCAACAGGAAGCUGGACACACUGCCCCCACUGCUGUUGGUGGCCAUCUUUACAACCACAAGAGGAAUCAACCUAAAGAUCAAAGUUACACCCAGAUAAGGCAGAUCCAGGACCACCAAGGGAACCUAGAGCCUAGAGCCCACUCUGGAUUUCCAGUCAUGUGCAAUAAAACAGUGCCUUUUAUUUAAA